CGAAAAGCCCUUGUUACUGACC
rnacentral:miRNA from 1 species